AAGUCGUAACAAGGUUUCCGUAGGUGAACCUGCGGAAGGAUCAUUAAUGUAACCGGACCUUACGGGUGCCGUAAAACGCAUUCGUUCGGAAAGGGAGAUAUCAUACACCCUGUGUUUAUUUACUUUUGUUGCUUUGGCGGGCCGUCCUUUUAGGCGUCGGCCCCGGCUGAUCGUGCCCGCCAGAGAACCCAAACUCUUUUAUUAGUGAUGUCUGAGUACUAUAUAAUAGUUAAAACUUUCAACAACGGAUCUCUUGGUUCUGGCAUCGAUGAAGAACGCAGCGAAAUGCGAUAAGUAAUGUGAAUUGCAGAAUUCAGUGAAUCAUCGAAUCUUUGAACGCACAUUGCGCCCGCUGGUAUUCCGGCGGGCAUGCCUGUUCGAGCGUCAUUAUGACCAAUCAAGCUCUGCUUGGNCUUGGGGCCCGCUGUACCGGCGGCCCUUAANAUUAGUGGCGGUGCCGUCUGGCUCUAAGCGUAGUAAUACUUCUCGCUACAGGGUCUAGUCGUUCACCCGCCAGAACCCCCAACUUUCUUAGGUUGACCUCGGAUCAGGUAGGGAUACCCGCUGAACUUAAGCAUAUCAAUAAGCGGAGGAAAAGAAACCAACAGGGAUUGCCUCAGUAACGGCGAGUGAAGCGGCAACAGCUCAAAUUUGAAAUCUGCCUCUAGGCCGAGUUGUAAUUUGUAGAAGAUGCUUCGGGUGCGGCACUGGUCUAAGUUCCUUGGAACAGGACGUCAUAGAGGGUGAGAAUCCCGUAUGUGACUGGCUGCCUUCGCCCAUGUGAAGCUCUUUCGACGAGUCGAGUUGUUUGGGAAUGCAGCUCAAAAUGGGUGGUAUAUUUCAUCUAAAGCUAAAUAUUGGCCAGAGACCGAUAGCGCACAAGUAGAGUGAUCGAAAGAUGAAAAGCACUUUGGAAAGAGAGUUAAACAGUACGUGAAAUUGUUGAAAGGGAAGCGCUUGCAACCAGACUUGCGCGCCGUCGAUCAUCCGAGGUUUUCCCCGGUGCACUCGGCGGUGCUCAGGCCAGCAUCGGUUUCGGUGGUUGGAUAAAGGCCUUGGGAAUGUGGCUCCUCCGGGAGUGUUAUAGCCCUCGGUGCAAUGCAGCCUACCGGGACCGAGGACCGCGCUUCGGCUAGGAUGCUGGCGUAAUGGUUGUAAGCGACC
rnacentral:rRNA from 1 species